UACAGAGGAGCCAAGCGUUGUCCGGAUUGACUGGGCGUAAAGCGCACGCAGGCGGACGCGCGCGUGGGGUGUGAAAUCUGGCCGCUUAACGGCCAGGCGCCAUCCCAUACGGCGCGUCUGGAGUGAUGCAGAGGUCGAUGGAAUUGCCGGUGUAGUGGUGAAAUGCGUAGAGAUCGGCAGGAACACCCAGGGGGGAACCAGUCGACUGGGCAUCUACUGACGCUGAGGUGCGAGAGCGUGGGGAGCGAACCGG
rnacentral:rRNA from 1 species